GGCAGUUCUCAGGUGAGGCACCCUGGGAUCGGACUCUCUCCUCUCUGGUUCUGGGUGUGUCACCUGAAAAACACA
rfam:Myotis lucifugus cont2.34644, whole genome shotgun sequence.